CUGGCGGCGUGCUUAACACAUGCAAGUCGAGCGAUGAAGCUUCUUCGGAAGUGGAUUAGCGGCGGACGGGUGAGUAACACGUGGGUAACCUGCCUCAUAGAGGGGAAUAGCCUUCCGAAAGGAAGAUUAAUACCGCAUAAGAUUGUAAUAUCGCAUGAUAUAGCAAUUAAAGGAGUAAUCCGCUAUGAGAUGGACCCGCGUCGCAUUAGCUAGUUGGUGAGGUAACGGCUCACCAAGGCGACGAUGAUACGUAGCCGACCUGAGAGGGUGAUCGGCCACAUUGGGACUGAGACACGGCCCAAACUCCUACGGGAGGCAGCAGUAGGGAAUCUUCCGCAAUGGACGAAAGUCUGACGGAGCAACGCCGCGUGAGUGAAGAAGGGUUUUUUCCGGAUCGUAAAACUCUGUUGUCAGAGAAGAACAAGUUGGAGAGUAACUGCUCCAGCCUUGACGGUAUCUGACCAGAAAGCCACGGCUAACUACGUGCCAGCAGCAGC
rnacentral:rRNA from 1 species